rnacentral:rRNA from 1 species
AUUGAACGCUGGCGGCAGGCCUAACACAUGCAAGUCGAGCGGAUGAAGGGAGCUUGCUCCUGGAUUCAGCGGCGGACGGGUGAGUAAUGCCUAGGAAUCUGCCUGGUAGUGGGGGAUAACGUCCGGAAACGGGCGCUAAUACCGCAUACGUCCUGAGGGAGAAAGUGGGGGAUCUUCGGACCUCACGCUAUCGGAUGAGCCUAGGUCGGAUUAGCUAGUUGGUGGGGUAAAGGCCUACCAAGGCGACGAUCCGUAACUGGUCUGAGAGGAUGAUCAGUCACACUGGAACUGAGACACGGUCCAGACUCCUACGGGAGGCAGCAGUGGGGAAUAUUGGACAAUGGGCGAAAGCCUGAUCCAGCCAUGCCGCGUGUGUGAAGAAGGUCUUCGGAUUGUAAAGCACUUUAAGUUGGGAGGAAGGGAAGUAAGUUAAUACCUGGCUGUUUUGACGUUACCAACAGAAUAAGCACCGGCUAACUUCGUG